rnacentral:rRNA from 3 species
AAAUCCGGUUCACUUUAACACUGAGGCGUGACGACGAGGCACUACGGUGCUGAAGCAACAAAUGCCCUGCUUCCAGGAAAAGCCUCUAAGCAUCAGGUAACAUCAAAUCGUACCCCAAACCGACACAGGUGGUCAGGUAGAGAAUACCAAGGCGCUUGAGAGAACUCGGGUGAAGGAACUAGGCAAAAUGGUGCCGUAACUUCGGGAGAAGGCACGCUGACACGUAGGUGAAGUGAUUUACUCAUGGAGCUGAAGUCAGUCGAAGAUACCAGCUGGCUGCAACUGUUUAUUAAAAACACAGCACUGUGCAAACACGAAAGUGGACGUAUACGGUGUGACGCCUGCCCGGUGCCGGAAGGUUAAUUGAUGGGGUCAGCGCAAGCGAAGCUCCUGAUCGAAGCCCCGGUAAACGGCGGCCGUAACUAUAACGGUCCUAAGGUAGCGAAAUUCCUUGUCGGGUAAGUUCCGACCUGCACGAAUGGCGUAAUGAUGGCCAGGCUGUCUCCACCCGAGACUCAGUGAAAUUGAACUCGCUGUGAAGAUGCAGUGUACCCGCGGCAAGACGGAAAGACCCCGUGAACCUUUACUAUAGCUUGACACUGAACAUUGAGCCUUGAUGUGUAGGAUAGGUGGGAGGCUUUGAAGUGUGGACGCCAGUCUGCAUGGAGCCGACCUUGAAAUACCACCCUUUAAUGUUUGAUGUUCUAACGUGGACCCGUUACCCGGGUUGCGGACAGUGUCUGGUGGGUAGUUUGACUGGGGCGGUCUCCUCCUAAAGAGUAACGGAGGAGCACGAAGGUUGGCUAAUCCUGGUCGGACAUCAGGAGGUUAGUGCAAUGGCAUAAGCCAGCUUGACUGCGAGCGUGACGGCGCGAGCAGGUGCGAAAGCAGGUCAUAGUGAUCCGGUGGUUCUGAAUGGAAGGGCCAUCGCUCAACGGAUAAAAGGUACUCCGGGGAUAACAGGCUGAUACCGCCCAAGAGUUCAUAUCGACGGCGGUGUUUGGCACCUCGAUGUCGGCUCAUCACAUCCUGGGGCUGAAGUAGGUCCCAAGGGUAUGGCUGUUCGCCAUUUAAAGUGGUACGCGAGCUGGGUUUAGAACGUCGUGAGACAGUUCGGUCCCUAUCUGCCGUGGGCGCUGGAGAACUGAGGGGGGCUGCUCCUAGUACGAGAGGACCGGAGUGGACGCAUCACUGGUGUUCGGGUUGUCAUGCCAAUGGCACUGCCCGGUAGCUAAAUGCGGAAGAGAUAAGUGCUGAAAGCAUCUAAGCACGAAACUUGCCCCGAGAUGAGUUCUCCCUGAGACUUUAGGUCUCCUGAAGGAACGUUGAAGACGACGACGUUGAUAGGCCGGGUGUGUAAGCGCAGCGAUGCGUUGAGCUAACCGGUACUAAUGAACCGUGAGGCUUAACCUUACAACGCCGAAG